rfam:Sus scrofa chromosome 6.
GGCGGGGGCGCAGGCGGCAGUGGCGGGAGCGGCCCCUCGGCCAUCCUCCGUCUGCCCAGUUACCGCUUCCGCUACCGCCGCCGCUCCCGCU